GAUGACUUCAAAGGCAUCUCGUCCUCAAAAGAGGAAGGGAAGCAAACCACCCUCUCAAGAGGGGUUGGGGCAAGGGGUGAUCGAUCGUCUAGCGGAGCUACACAGCAAGCCACUAUAUGCGCUACUCCGAAUUAUUCUUCUGAGACUUCCGCCUCUUUUCCCAGCUAUCCCUCUUUCCCUAGUGUCGCAGUCUCGCGGAUUCUCUUUAUUGUGACUUAUUGUGUUGGAAAGUCUCUUCUUCUUUCCUGCCUACGGGCCAAAUACCCGUGAGGAGCCUUGUCGAAGCAGGACAAAUAUCUUUUUAUCUUCCGAAAGGAGGCUAAAACAGCCAAAGCAAUAUGUUCAGAAACCGUCAUUAGAUCCUAACAUUGUUAUGAGAAAUGUUCCAGAUGGGCUAAUCUCCGCCGAACCUGUGCAAUAA